GGGCUCCGCUCACCUGUUAAGGCCUUCAUCCCGUGUUGCUGUUGUCCGGUUCAGGUCCCUGGACUCUUUAAUCAACAGAAAUUGAAAAGCAGCUGGACGAGGAAUUCAGGCAAGGCUUUCCUGGGACACGUGCUGCAAGCAGGAGGGAGUGGAAACAAGUACCAGGUUUCCUUGCUUGAGGAGGGGCAAGCUGGCUCCUUCAGUUGGGUAACAAUGUGGGGCGGGCUCAGCUUAGGCUGCCUGCCCACCCCCUUGGCGGUGCCGUGUGCAGGGAUCACGGGCAGUCCCCUGUUUUUGCUCCCAGCUCCUCAGCAGUGGUACUUGGCGUAUGGCCUUUCUGUAUCUUGAUGUUCAUAAUUGCACUAACUGCACAGGUACAGCUUUUUUAGUCCCUAAUAGUUUCUUCGUAUUCUGCUGCUUGAGGAGAGGUUUGUGCACGUGCAAGUGCAAGCACUUCAGUAGAGGGUCCCAGGUCCUGGCCUAUCUCUAACUGACUGUAUGUGUAUGAGCCUUCUGACUGGUAGGGGGGAGACAAGCCCACCUCUUCCCCACAGCUGGGCAUGGGGGUUGGGGAUGGGAAUUACUGUGUAAGUCUCUCCAAAGAAAGCCUACGUCUAAUUUUUUUAACACCUUUUGGCCUCUCCAAUCUGUUCUGUGAGCUCAAAGCAGGUGAUCAGCUGAGGGUCACAAAACUGGUUCUCAACCACCUCCUUUGCAAGUCCUGCUCUGGGAGUCCUACGGCACUCUGGAAUGUGGGAAUCAUUGGCACCUGUUGUCCUGAGAUCCUUGUCAAUACUCAGACCAGGCGGGUCCCCUUCUCACAUCCUGUGACGCUUGCUUAAACCACUGCAGGCAGGUUUCCAUCAUAGUUCCUAACUCACACAAGCCCAGAGAUGGAAAAAAAAAUCCUGGGAUGCAUCAAAAAUUUUGACCAAUAAAUUAGGGUGAUUGAGUGGGACUUGGGGAGGGGAGUGGCAGACAGAUUCUUUUGGAUUGAGGGGUAGAUGCGAUGCAGAUGGGGCUGGAAAGCACUGGGAGGGUGUCUUACAGGCGGAGAAAAACCGAUGGGAUCGAGGGGUACUGGGGAUAGUGGGAGCGAAUAGAGCAGGAGGAGGGUUCAGAGGGGCUGGAGGUCAUGGAAGGAAUGGGGAAAAUAAGAGGGAAGCGAGAGCUGUGGAGGCUGGGGGACCAGGAGAAUGGAGGGGACUUAGCUGAGCUGGGACAGGGAAGACCUGGGGAAAGGGAUGGGGCAAAAUAGCAACUAGAGGAAGUUGGAGAAGACUGGGUGGGGUUGGGAGUGGCCAGCAGCUGUUUCUUGUACACAGAGGAAAAUAUUUAAAAAUUUAACAUUGUGAUAAAACACACACAGCUCUUACCAUUUUAAGCAUUUAAGCAUUUAACUACAGGUGGCAUUAAGUGCAUUCACAAUGUUAUGCAACCAUCCCUACCAUCUGUCUCCAGAACUGUCUCAUUUUCCCAAACAGAAACCCCUUAAACAAAAACUCCCCCUUUACCCAACCCCUGGGAGUGUCUAUUCUGCUGUCUGCCUUGUACAGAGAACACAUGAAGCCAUGAUUUCCUUGUCCCUAGCCUUGUCCCAAGUGGAGGUACAGGGGACUGGGGGAAAUGGAGUUGGAGGAGAGUCUCGGAAGCCCUGUGGAGGACCAGAGGGACUGCGAGGAGGGCUGGGGCUAGGAGGCCUGGGGGUUCUGGGAAGGGCUGGAGGAGCUGGGAGUUUUGAGGAACUGAGUGAUGACAGGAUGGAUGGGAAGGGGCGUAGCCAGGGCUAGGCAUCUUGAUAAAUCACAACCCUUCCAAAAACAGAGCCCUCUGGUCCCGGCUCCCUGACCACCUGCUGCAGCAGGCUCCAUGCUCUGGCUGGGUCUGUGUGGUGACAGCUGCUGGGACCCUCCCCUGGCUGCCAGGUUGGGCCCUGCCCCCACCCUAUAGUCCGUAUGCUCCCAUCCUGCUUGGGGUAGGAAAUGGAAGUGGGCCUGGGGGACCUCGCCUUUCCUCCUCACUGGGUCCAGGGGUAGUUGGAGGUGGCAUUAAACCUUGUUUGUGUUUUACUCAUUUCUGGCAAACCAAGGGCCUCAGUGUAACGGCCCUUUUGAGGGGUGCAAAGUAAUCUGCUCAUUGUCCCAGGGGAGGAACUAGAAAACGAGUCUCCAACCAGUCUAGACCAAAGGGGAGGGUCAGCAGGGAGUGUGGGAAAUGGGAGGAAGUUGGUGGGACUGGGGGCUGAAGGUAUUAAAAGACUGAGUGUCUGGGAGGGUUAGGAAGGGACUAGGGGAGCUGGAUGAAAUAGAACUGGGGAUGAUUUGGGAAUCUGAGUUGCCAGAGAGAGACUGGAACCUAGAAGGAGCUGAGAUUCCAGACAGGGUGGAAUAAGAGAAAUGUUGUGGAGGUGAGUGGGGGACAUGGAAGGGAAGAGGUAAAUCGGGAGAACCUGGAAGAGGCCAGGAGAGCUGGGGAUGGGGGCUAGUCAUUGGAAGGAUGUUAGGGCCUGGAGUAGGCCUGGAGGAUCUGGCAGUGACAUUCAGGUGCCGGGAGGGGCCAGAAGGCUCUGGGAAGAAAAGGGAGGUGAUGCGAAGAGGUGGGGUGAGGCAUGGUGGGAGGGGCAUGGCGACAGAGGGCUUGGGAGAAAGUGGGAACUGCAGGGCGACAGGGGCGGGGCUGAGAGAGGCACUCCUUCAUCCAGAGGUUAAAAUUCCCCACUGUGAUUAAUAGAUUUCUCAGCUUCUCCUUGUGGUUCUACAGGUUUCUGCGUUCCCUACUUCAGUGCUGUUAAGUGCACGCCUAACUCCAGUCCCCACCACAGCUCUGACCCCGUUAAAAUCCACCUUCUACGUGGCAGUAAAGCAACUCAUGUCCUCUCCUUGCUUGAAACCUUGCAGAGCUCCCUUACCUGCACCAUUGCCCUCAAGGCAACCCUAGCCUGGCCCAGCCUACAGGCCCCGCCCCUGCACAUAGCCCCGCCCCCACGCACAGCCCCGCCCCAACUCGUCCCACCACCCCAACUCCUGGCCUGGUUCCCUCUCUGUCCUCAAGCCUCUGCCCACCUCUGUGCUACUCUCCAGCCUCAAUAUCCUGUCUUCUUUAACGCUCCAGAUUGAGUCCACGCUUGGGCUUUUUUGCUCCUGCUGCUUCUGCCUGGAAUGUUUCCUCCACGGGUCUUAGCUACCUUCUUACUUUUCAGGUCUCGACACAAAUUUCACCUUCUUUGAACAGGCUUUCUCAGACCAACCCCCUGGCUAAAGCAGCCCCCAGCUCACUACAGUCUCUGUGAACCAUCAUGGCCUGAGUUCAUCUUCAUCAACCAGCACCUGCCGUCUCGUGACUGUGCCAUUUGUGUGCAUAUUGACUGCCGCCCCUAAAGCAUAAGCCUCCCCAGUUCAGGCUGUUCACUGCUGUAACCCCCGAACCUGGAGCCGUGCCUAGCCAAUGGUGAGGGGUCGAUAAAUGGCUGUUGAUUGAUUACUGAUUGACUCAUUCAUACUCAUAUUCAUAGCAGCAUUAUUCACAAUAGCCAUGAGGUAGAAGCAACCCAAGUGUCCAUGGACAGAGAGUGGAUAAACAAAGUGUGGUACAUACAUACAACAAAUGGAAUAUCAUUCAAUCUUAAAAAGGAAGGAAAUUCUGACAUUUGCUGUAACAUGGAUGAACCUUGAGGACAUUAUGCUAAGUGAAAUAAACCAGUCACAAAAAGACAAA